GUGGGGCCAUCUUUCUCUAUCGAUGUAUGGGACCACAUGGAUGUAUGGUUGAAGACUAUACCAUUGAUGCCCCUUUGGAUAAAAGUAGAGCUGGUCUGACCAUUUAAACUUUUCUUUCAUCAUUAUGUGUUUUUACACCUUAUAGAUUUGAUGAACUUUAACCAAUUUUGCUUUUAGCCCUGUUUGAGGGAUACCAUUCCGAUGAUAAAAAUGCAAUUGCCAAAGUAAUUUUCAGUCUGUCCAGAUACAUAAGGAUCCAUCAUAGGGAUGUUUCAGAUCAUCAAAAUAUACAAUCAUGUGUGCUUGGCUUGUCCAUAAUUGCUUGAGCCAAGAAAUGGACCUCAACCACUAAUUAUCCUUAUAUCGAAUGCUUACACAGAUGCAUUGAGGUCGGAAAGCCUCGAGCUUGUGCAACCCAGCUCUCUUACAAUCCAACACAGGCCUGGAUAGAAGAUGUGCAAUAUCCAAGCUUUCCAUCAGGUGGUUCCCCACUUCUUGAUGCCACAGUCCAAAAAUCAGGCAAGUCCACUCCAUAUGCUUAUUCAAAGUGGAAGUAACUAUAUAGAGUGUAGGCUCAGGGGUCCACAAUGCUUACAUGGAUGCAUGAUCAAAGCUGCUCAUCAGUUUUAUCCUUGAAGAAAAAGGGAAGAAAAAUCUGUCCACAUAUUUUUAAAAAAAUUCCAUAGCUAUUCUCCUCCAUCUGCUAGUUACAGAGGGAGGCUUUGUUGCUUCAUAUGGGGAUGGAUAUGGACUUCAUUCGGGUGCCGCUGACAAAGGUCCUCUAUUUGGCAUGGGUUCUGGUUUUUGGGGUGCAUUUGAGAAGUCUCGCCUCGAGCGUUGCUGAAAUCCGUUGCUUUUUUUUCCCUCCUGCUUUUCCUUGUGUCUCAAUUUGUAAAUUUUCUGUCCAUUAUGUAACCUUUCAGUCUUAGGCCCCCUGUAAAUGGGGCUGGUUGUAAAUGAUUUACAGGUUGUGUUUGAAUGCUAAUUUAAGCCUGUAAAGGUCUUUUGAUUUAGAAGAUUCAGCCUAGCAGAA